CAGUCGCCGCGGGAAUACAGAGGGUGCGAGCGUUAAUCGGAUUUACUGGGCGUAAAGCGUGCGUAGGCGGCUUCUUAAGUCGGAUGUGAAAUCCCUGAGCUUAACUUAGGAAUUGCAUUCGAUACUGGGAAGCUAGAGUAUGGGAGAGGAUGGUAGAAUUCCAGGUGUAGCGGUGAAAUGCGUAGAGAUCUGGAGGAAUACCGAUGGCGAAGGCAGCCAUCUGGCCUAAUACUGACGCUGAGGUACGAAAGCAUGGGGAGCAAACAGGAUUAGAUACCCGUGAGUCCCUGUCUCUUAUACA
rnacentral:rRNA from 1 species